CGGCUCAGUAACACGUGGAUAACCUACCCUCAGAUCUGGGAUAACUCCGGGAAACUGGAGAUAAUACCGGAUAAUCCGUGAACGCUGGAAUGCCUUACGGUUGAAAGCUUUAGCGUCUGAGGAUGGGUCUGCGGCCGAUUAGGUAGUUGCUGGGGUAACGUCCCAACAAGCCGAUAAUCGGUACGGGUUGUGAGAGCAAGAGCCCGGAGAUGGAUUCUGAGACACGAAUCCAGGUCCUACGGGGCGCAGCAGGCGCGAAAACUUUACACUGUGCGAAAGCGCGAUAAGGGGACCUCGAGUGCGUGCGCAAAGCGUACGCUUUUCAGAUGCCUAAAAAGCAUCUGGAAUAAGGGCCGGGCAAGACCGGUGCCAGCCGCCGCGGUAACACCGGCGGCUCAAGUGGUGGCCGCUAUUAUUGGGCUUAAAGGGUCCGUAGCCGGACCAGUUAGUCCCUUGGGAAAUCUUACGGCUUAACCGUAAGGCUGCCAAUGGAUACUGCUGGUCUUGGGACCGGGAGAGGCAAGAGGUACCUCAGGGGUAGGAGUGAAAUCCUGUAAUCCUUGAGGGACCGCCAGUGGCGAAGGCGUCUUGCUAGAACGGGUCCGACGGUGAGGGACGAAAGCUAGGGGCACGAACCGGAUUAGAUACCCGGGUAGUCCUAGCC
rnacentral:rRNA from 1 species